rnacentral:rRNA from 1 species
UGCCAGCCGCCGCGGUAAUACGGAGGGGGUUAGCGUUGUUCGGAAUUACUGGGCGUAAAGCGCACGUAGGCGGAUUAGUAAGUUAGGGGUGAAAUCCCGGGGCUCAACCCCGGAACUGCCUCUAAUACUGUUUAUCUAGAGUCCGAGAGAGGUUAGUGGAAUUCCCAGUGUAGAGGUGAAAUUCGUAGAUAUUGGGAAGAACACCAGUGGCGAAGGCGGCUUACUGGCUUGAUAUUGACGCUGAGGUGCGAAAGCGUGGGGAGCAAACAGGAUUAGAUA